GGUUCGAUUAGUCUUUCGCCCCUAUACCCAGUUCAUACGAUCGAUUUGCACGUCAGAAUCGCUACGGACCUCCAUCAGGGUUUCCCCUGACUUCAUCCUGACCAGGCAUAGUUCACCAUCUUUCGGGUCCCAGCGUGUACGCUCUUGGUGCGCCGCAACUUGCAAUAAGUAUGCGACGCCCCGGGAAUGCGAGGUAACAUAAAUAACGUUACCCAUCUUCCCUUUAUAAAAUAUAAUUAUAAAAAUUAUAUAUAUAUAUUUACUUUCAUUACGCCUUUAGGUUUAUUAUAAAUACCCAAUGACUUGCGCACAUGCUAGAUG
rnacentral:rRNA from 1 species